AAUUUUGGACAAUGGGGGAAACCCUGAUCCAGCCAUCCCGCGUGUGCGAUGAAGGCCUUCGGGUUGUAAAGCACUUUUGGCAGAGAAGAAAAGGCUCCGCCUAAUCCGUGGACCUGCUGUCGGUACCGGCAGAAUAAGCACCGGCUAACUACGUGCCAGCAGCUGAGGUAAUACGUAGGGUGCAAGCGGUAAUCGGAAUUACUGGGAGUAAAGCGUGUGUAGGCGGUUCGGAAAGAAUGAUGUGAAAUCCCAGGGCUUAACCUUGGAACUGCAUUCUUAACUGCCGAGCUAGAGUAUGUCAGAGGGGGGUAGAAUUCCACGUGUAGCAGUGAAAUGCGUAGAGAUGUGGAGGAAUACCGAUGGCGAAGGCAGCCCCCUGGGAUAAUACUGACGCUCAUGCACGAAAGCGUGGGGAGCAAACA
rnacentral:rRNA from 1 species